UUAUAGAGGUCGGGACAGGACCCACCAUACCAAUCAAUACAUGUACUAAUUACACUAACUAAAUACGCAACUCCGGAGCAAAUAGAGCGCACCAAUAUCUUCCGUUGAGCUGAUAGCCUACUUUGGAGGACUCUCAACCUGUCUAUCAGGACCUGCAGGCAUGAAAUGCAGCAUCCUCAGGAAAAAGGGACAUCAGUACAAAUAAUGUACCGAGUAUGUAAGGAAUGAAAAUUAGUAAAAAAUAGACAUAAGAGAAAUAUAGAGUAAAGACUCAACAUGUAAGCCUGAAUAACUAUGUGAACCAUUUAUAUUUAUAAUAGCAAGUAUAUGCAUAUAAAUGUCAUAUCAUACAUAGGCAUAUGCUUAUAAAUAUCAUACCAUGCAUAGGGAUAUGUGUACGUAACACCAUCAAGCCUAUGAGGCAUCCCAUCAUACCAUAUCAGCCACUAUGGGAAAAAUCAUCAACGUAUACCAGAUGAUCAGGUAUGGUGCGUAUAUAACGUCAUAACCUUUUUUCAUAUAUAUAUAUAUAUAUAUAUAUAUACGCGUAUAUAACACCAUCUGGUCAUGAUUUAAUGUACACGUAUAAAUGAAUGUGAUGAUGAGGAAUGUGUCAAUAAAAUCCCUCGGAACAUCGUAAGACCAUUAUGUUUUUGAUUAAUUUCACAGGUAAACUUUAUCAACUUAUGUAUUUUCUGAGACUCAUGAACAGAUGAUAGGAUAAUAGGAUAUAUGGGGAACCGACAAUAUAGGCAUCUCUAAUAUUUCUAUGAAUAAAGUUAUUUAUGAAAGUUGUGCAUUUGCUUGUUUCGUUUGUAUCGUUGACCAUACCAAAAGGAAGGAAAGGAUAGCAUUAACAUACCUGAGUGGAUUCUUUUGACAAUCCCUCUACACAUGUCAAUUGAGACAAAAUACGUAACAGCGGAUCGAAGUAAAAAAAAUUGUAUGAUAUUGUUGAGAAAGAUUGUACUAUACUCUCUUAGAAUUGCAGCUCGUUGCUAUUACACGGUAUAACUUCGUGUGAAAUUUUAUUGAAGUUUCAUCUAUCUCUUGGCACACCUAGCAUCAUACCUUAAUAAUGUAAGAAAUCUCUUAAAACUGUUGGCUUUUGCUGAAGAUUUCAUAUAAACUCCUUGUUUUGAGAUUUCUAUCUGUUAGCUAACUUAGUAGAGAUGUAAACAUUUCCAUUUGUGAAUUAGAGAAACUUUUAAGUCUUGAUGGUAUGGGCCCCACUUUGAUAAGAUUACUAAGCCACCAAUCUCUCUUAGUAUGUCACCUUAUAAUAUGGACUUAGGAGUCACAAUUUUGGCUGCCACGUGAAGGCUUAUCCAAAAGCCUUAAUUAAUUAAUUAAUUUUUCAUUAAAAUUAAUAACUAAAUAAUUACACACAUAAUUAAGAAUUAUUUUAAAUUACUUAAAAUAUUACUUACUUUGAACAUACCUUAUACACCUUACAAUCAUGGUCAUGUGAUACCUUGCAAGACACUAGUUCAUAGAUGUCAGAUAUUACAGCUCGGACAAUAUUUUAUCAAAAAUUAACAAACUUCGUCGAAAUUCACUUUCUUCCCUUUCACCUUUAUAAAUUUACUUACCACUUGUUUGAAAUAACAUAAUACUUAUAAUCUCAAAAUAAUCUCAUUCUCAAGCUUAAGUCAAUUAACUUAUGAAGAAACUUUAACGUAUAAAAAUACGGGAUGCAAUAUUUUAUUUUCGAGCGAGCUUAUAUAAAUUUACUUAUGGCAUACUUUCACGUAUGAAAAUAUGAGAUGCAACAAGAAGAUCAUUUUCACACUAUUCAAAGAGCCUCGCAAAUUUUAUCUUGUCUAUUAUCUCCGGUAGCUUUUUGAUCUAAGAUAAGUGUUUUUUGGUGGAUGGUGUAGGGUGGCCAUCAACAAGAAGUAGGGGGUGGUCAGAAGCUUAUGGGUACAAAGGGGAGAAAUGGUGAAGAAAGAGAGAUAGAGAAAAAAAAAGCAAAAGAAAAAGAAUAAAAUAAGAUUAAAAAGAUAAAUGAAAAGGUAAACUAGAAAUUAAAAACAAAAUGAAAUUUUGACAUAUGGUAAGUAAAGAUUGGCACGUGAUUUGUAUUUCUUAUUUUGAAACUGGGGAUGGCUUGAAAAUGUGAUACUUCUUACAUUGCUUAUGAAUGUAGGGGUCAUAGAACAUCAUAUUCUGAAAGGUACAAUUGAAACUUUGGUACAACUCCAAUAAAAUAAUUAAAUAUCCUUUUAAGAAUGAAGAACAUUCUUGUAAUAAGUGAUUUAUUCUCUUCAGUAAUUCAAAUAUCAUACAAUUAAAUUAAAAAGUAAAGUAUGCCUCCAACUCUGAGACAUUAAAGAGAUAUAAAAAAAUAAUCUACAAAAAUUCUGGUAUGUUGUAAAUAAAGUUGUAUUCUAGGUGAAUGUCUAUUUCUUAGAAAGUUUGUUACUUUGUAUGUGACGAAUCGACCCGUCGUCUUAUGAGUUACCGCUAUGUUUCUUUCAUGUUUUUCUUAUUUGUGCUUCAUUAUAAGAUUCUUGUGUGAAAAAGUUGAUUUGGAUUGGUUUAGAAGGAAAUGAGACACUUAGUCUCUUUAAGGAAGGUUUAUUUUGGAAAAAUCAAUCGGACGUGGACUUAUGUGUUAAAUGGCCCGGAUAUGAAUUCCGAUGAUUCGGUUAGCUUCGGAGGAUGAUUUGUGACUUAGGAGUGCCAUCGGACGUGAUUUUGGAAGUCCAGUGUAGAAUUAGGCUUGAAAUGGCGAAGUUAGUAUUUUGGUGAAUUUCGGUUGAUAGGUGAGAUUUUGAUCUGAGGGUCGGAAUAGAAUUCCAAGAGUUGUUGUAGCUUCGUUAGGCGAUUUGGGAUGUGUGUGUAAAAUUCUAGGCCAUUCGAAGGUGAUUUGGUCGGGUUUUUGAUCAAAAGUGUGUUUCGGAAUUUUUAGAAGAAUUUAGGCUUAAAUUUGAUGCAAUUUGAUGGUUUUGAUAUUGUUUGAGGUGUUUUAAAGAUUGGAAUAAGUUUGGUGAUAUUUUAGGAUGUGUUGAUGCUUUUGGUUGAGGUCCCGAGAGCCUCGAGGUGAUUUCGGAUGGCUGACAGGGAAUUUUGGACUAUGAAAAGUUGCAGAAAAUGCAUCAGCUAUUGGAGAGCAUUUUUGUUCUCUGCGAUCGCACGUGGAUAUACGUGAUCGCGUAAGAGGAUUUUUGCGGGGGUGUUUGGUUGUUCAAUGUGAUCACAGAGAAAGGGUUGCGAUCGCACAGUGUGAAGUUGAUCUAAGAAUUGAGUAGAAAAAUUAUUCAUUGCGAUCGCAGGUAUAAGUAUGCGAUCACAUAGGUUAAAGAACUUGUGCAUUGCGAUCGCAUAGGGUUAAAAAUUUUGAGCAGGGAUUUUGUAUUUCAUGAUCACAAAGGAUUGGCUACGAUCGCAUAGAGGAAAAACGGACAUGGACAUAAGGGUUUUAAUAAUAUUUCAUCAGCGAACUAAGCCUUAUUUUUACCAUUGUUGAGCAUCCUUGAGAGAUUUUUGACGGGAAUUGAAGAGGGUUUCGACUGGGAGUGAUUGGAGGUAAGUCCUAUGAACCUAAAAAUACGAUUUUAUUGUGAAAUUGACCUUGAAAUCCAUGUAAACUUAGCAAAAAAGGGAAGAACUAGGGCUUGAGUUUUUGAUAUUCAAAUUAGGAUUUGAGGCGUCAUUUGGACUCCGAUUUUGGUAUUCUUUAUAUGUACAGACUCGUGGGACGAUAAGGAACCCGUUGGUAUAAGAAUUUCUGAGUUUCAAGAAGUGCGCACGGGGCACGGUUUUUUGCCAAUUUCGAAAUUUUUGAUAUUUUUCGACUGUUUUCGAUUGGGUAUUGUUCCCUUAGCCUAUUGUGACAUAUUCAUUGUGGUUUUGGUCAGAUUUGAUGUGCGAGGAUAUCAAUUUGAGAGGCAAAGGCGUCGUGAGCUAGAGAUCGCCAGUUCGAGAUGAGUAAUGAUUGUAAAUGAUAUUUUGAGGGUUUGAAACCCCGUAUUUGCCCAUCAUAGUGCUAUAUUGAGGUUACUUGCAUGCCGGAUAGCGAGCGUGGGGUAGAGCACCUUUGGGGAUUGUGACUUGGUCCAUCCCGGUAGAUGAAUAUACUGUGUAUUUGGCUGAAAUUCACUUAUUAUCAUUACAAAUUUGAGCUAAUUGCUAUAUUUGGGCUUCGUGCCAAUUGAUUGAAUCCUUCAGGGAUUGCUAUUACUGGUUUCUUACUAUUUACAUAUUAUUGAACUCAGUCCUAGUACUUAAUAUUAUUUUGUAAACUCAACCACCUUUUCUCAAACUUGAAAACAUAAUUAAUAUUUUUACUGAAGUUUGGGGUGAAUACUUAUAUAUAUGAUUGUGCCCGAGGGGCUUAAGAGAUUCUGGAUUGAGUAUGAGAUCGGGUUGCGCGCCGCAGCGAUAUUGUAUUGAUAUUGAUAUGAGGCCGAGAGCCUAGUUGAUGUCACGAGAUGACUUAUUAUUGCGCUUGGGACGUAAGGGGCCCCUCCCGGAGUCUGCACACCCUUAGUGAGUGCCAUCGAUGAUAAAUGGAGUGGGCUGCACGCCGCAGCGAUAUGUGGAGCAGGUUGCACGUCGCAGCGGUACCAGUACUAUUUAAUGUGUUUGCAUUAUCUUAUUUUCCUGCUAUUAUCUGUUGUUUUGGUGCUACUUCUUACAAAUAUAGACCUGAUACUCUGGCGUUCCUUGAUAACUGAGUGUUGUGCCCCACGGGGCAGAAAUUUUAUGCUUAUUAGCACUAUUUAUUUUGAAUUUGUUUGCGUAAUCGCUGAAAAGGUGAUUUUUUAAAGAGGUUUUAAACUGAGCUAAGGUGUUUCACUAAAGAUUCUCAUAGCUUAACAAUUUUUCUAAAAAGGGUUUACACAGCUUCUAUAUAGCAUGAUAAUUUGUCAUACGUGUUUUCUUAUCGCUUAGUUCUUAUAUACCUUUAUUAAUCACUGAGUUGGAAGUACUCAUUUUACUCCCUACACCUCGUGUGCAGAUGCAUGUAUCUAUUCACCCGGUAGCGAGUUAGCCGAUCAAAAGCAGAGUUACAUGAGUAAGAUGGUGACUGCAAGCGUUCGCAGCACCAUGUUCCUCUCUUUUGUUCAUUAUUCCGGUUUUGUAUACUUUAGACCUUGUAGUGGAUUUACAUUCUGAUAGAUGCUCGUAACUUGUGACACCUCGAUUAGGGCUGUGUUAGGUUGUAUUUCCGUUAAUUAAUAUUUUAAGUCAUAUUUAAGCUGUUUAUUUAUGUUUAACUAUUUUUGAAAAGAUGAACUAGGUUUAGUUGGCUGGCCUUGUCCCCACGAGAGGCGCCAUCACGACCGGAUUCGGGUUUGGGUUGUGAAAAGUUGGUAUCAGAGCCUAGAUUACUAGGUCUCACGAGUCAUGGGCAGGUUUAGUAGAGUCUCGCGGAUCGGUACGUAGACAUCUGUAUUUAUCCCCGAGAGGCUGCACAACCUUUAGGAAACUUCACAUUCUUAAGUUCUUAUCGCGUGUCCUUGAUCAGCUUGAAAAAGAAACUCUUGAAAUUCCUUCCACGCGUUUGUACGCGCGCAUGAGCGCUCAGUAUCAGAUGUGCCUUGAUGGCUUGUGAUUCCCCGAUCAAGGGGCGAGAUGUAAUAUCUGUGAGUUUAUAUUGGGCCAGUAUGGAGGACUUGAGGCCGUAUCUAGGCAUAUGGCUUGAGCACCGAGGUGCUGAUUGUGUGAUCAAGUGUUUCGAACUUAUACGUUCGGUAUUGUCUCAAUUAGUGGAAGUGACGGAUGGAUAGCCACAUGAUGAGUAUGUUAGUACUGCGAGAUGUAUGUAACUGUCUUGGAAGAGACGAGGGAGGUCUGUUGGAUGAUAGGUGAACUAAUAAGUGCUUGAUUUCCAUUGUGACUGGAUGUGUAGCCCCGAGUUAUGGGCGCGUGAAGAAUCUUUUCAUGUCUUCUAGUUGGGAGUGAAGUAAAUUUCAUGUUGCGGUAUGAGUUCAGACUCAGGAAGACAGAGUAACUGUGUAAUGUGUAUGAUGGUGGAAGGUAUAUAUUAGGAGUGAAGUAAAUUUCAUGUUGCAGUAUGAGUUCAGACUCAGGAAGACAGAGUAACUGUGUAAUGUGUAUGACAAUGGAAGGAAUACAGAAAGGUUAUGUUGAGGCGGAACAGAUGGGUUAUCUCAUGCGGAGUGUUCUAAAGUGGUGUGAUCCUUAUGUGUAUGUUAGGAGAUCUCAUUUACAAGUGAAGAAAAUGUGUUGUAAUCUAGAUUGGAUCGCCUAGAGAGUGGGCUUAACUGUUAUGUAAGUGAAUGCGAGAUUUGCAAAAAAGUUUAAAAAAAAUCUAGAUGAUUUGUGUUUCCACAAGCUUAUGAAGGAUUGAGUUUAAUCUCACUAUGGUAUUAAGGAAGCAAUAAAGUAUAUGUGUUAUAGGUUAUUGUGCAUUUUGAUCUAUGGCUUUGAGCCAAGUUGGGGAGGUUACUAUUAAUUAGCUGAUUGCACGGUUAUGUGCUAUGUUGGUUCCGAUUUAAGAUAUGCUGGUGAAUCAGUUCUAGUUGCGGGAAUUUAGCCGAGGAUGGCUCGAGUGAAGGAAAAUUAUUGACAAAGGUUAUAUGGUGUUUCGUGGAUGUGUGAGAAUCACAGGAUGUCUAGGGUAUCAUUGGUAAAGAAUGCUCGGCACAUGGAGCAUGGAGAUUUUUGUUUGUAUUGGGAUGAUGUCAUAUCCUGCGGUGUUAGAGUGCUAAUGAGGCAUGGAUGGUUCUAUUCGUGUGACCAGGUAAAUUGCAGUUUGAAGAAGAGUAAACGACUCUCGAGAAUGACUCUAAUGUGUUAAAGAUUCUACAGGAAACAAUCGGGUGUUUUAAAGUUGCAUGUGUAGUUAGAAACUGUGUUUUCAUUGGAAAAGGUUCAGAUUUGUGGUAUUUCUAUGUUAAUUAUAGGGUUCUAUGUAUUAGUAUCAGGAAAGUAAAGGUAAUGGAUUCGAAUUCACAGGCAAUUUUUAUAUUAAAGUAUUUGGGAGUGUGAUGUUUCCGGUAAUACAUAAGAGGGUCUUCAGUGGCUUAUGGGUCUUAGAUAGUGUAGUCUUGUGCUUGGGUCUCGUAUAGUGAGCCUAGGUUGAGGAAUUGUGGUGCUACAGCAAGAGGAAAUUUCCAAUUGAAGAUGAAUCAGAAGGGAAAUAGAUAUAUGGUAUGGCUUGAUAGUAGAUCGAAUCGAUAUGGUAAGGAUAUGAUUAAUUCUUUGUAUGUGUUAGAGGUAAUGGGUUCUUGCAGGUAUUUUGCAGCAAUGCUCUUGGGGUUUGAUGGCUUGCUUAGCUUGGUCUAGUUAGAAGGAUUCAGUCCUGGCAGUUUAAUUUGUGCAAAUGGAAUUGGGAGAGUUCUUGAUGAUUUCUACCGUUGUUCGAGAGAUGCAUUUCCUACGAAUAUAAGAGGCAUGGGAUGUGUAAUAAUUUUCUUCUAACCUUGAUAAUUUUUACCAUGGUUGGAGAGAUGUAUUUUCUACGAAUAUGAGAGGCAUGGGAUGUCUAAUGAUUUUCUUAUAAAUGGGAUCAAUGGAAGUUCUUGACUAGUUGAGUACAUUAGUGUCCGUGGCUCGGAGGAGAGAUGCAAUUCUCAUGUUAUCCUAGGAUGGUGUGGUAUAUGCGAUAUGUUGUGGAGGAUUGGGAUUUACAUGUGUAAGGUUUUGGUUUGGUUUCGAAUGGGAUGUCAUGAAAUUCUUAGGCAGCACGGGCAGCUGUACGUGAUUAGAGAAACGAACUUCAGGUGAUUAAAGUGAAUGAUCUUCAGAUGAUUAAGAAAACGGUAUUGCUAAUCAGAGUGAUUUUAUAAGGGUAUAUGUUUCAAAAAAAAGGCAAUGUGAUUAAGUUGAUAGAACUAUGGUAGUACUGCGGUGCUUUCUUGUUAGAUCGACUGCUGAUAUCCGAGUUGCUUGAAGGCACAGGGGAAUUUCAUAUCCUCUGUGGAAUGAUUGGGCCCUUGUGACGAGUGUUAGCACUGAGGCCCUGAUGUUGAUUCAGUUCUGGUGUUGAGGGAUUUUUCGGAUGCAUUUCUUAAGGUCGGGCAUGUCGCCGGGCGAGGUUGUGGAUUUCGGUAUUGAUUUGGUGUCGGGCACCGUAUCUAUAGCUCCGGUAGGAGCUGUAGUAGUGGAGUAGCAACUUCAGGCUUCCUUGAUGAUGAGUUCGUUGGUAGGUCAAUAUUGUAUGUGUGUUCUAGCUUGAGUCGGCUUGGUUGGCCCCGAGUUGUAUUAUUGAGGGAUAGGUUGAUUCGAUCGUUAGUGAGCUUGUUAGCGACCUGGGGAGAUUUAUGAGUUGUUUUCGUGCUGCAAGACGUUAUGAUUUGUUGGUUAUGGGCACAUAUAAUGCGGUUCUAUUGGGGUAUCUUAGUAGAAUUCAAGCAGGUAAAAGUAAUUGGGUGUUAUUCGCCGAAUGGCGUAUCGGUUAUGUCCUAUUGGGUUGCAUGGUAUGUGUUAUUUGUUUCGCCAUAGGCGUAAUGAUUUUCCAUGGUUCCAUGUGGAGCAGUGUUUGGAUAGAAUUGUACAUUGCAGUGAAGCUAUACCGAGAUAUGACCCUGAGGGUUAGAUUUGUGUGUUCUGUCUCUAUGAUGGGAGAGGAUUCUUCGUCUUGUGUUGUGGUGGUACAUGGGAGCUUGAAGUACAACUCCUUCAUUUGAGUCAUUUUCAUGAAUUAAGUAUGUUCAGACUGUUGCUUAUUGGUGUGCGUUUUGUGUGAGUUGUGGCUUAGUCCUAUACUAAUGUGUAAUGUCACCAGAGUAGAGUGUUGAUUAGAUGCGAUUAUUGGGAUCUUUAAUGAGUACGAUCAUAUUCGAUUUCAGUAUGUUGGAGGGAUAAUAUCAAGCUUCGUUCAGAAAUUAGCUAUGGUCCUUGCCAAAGGAGAAGUAGUCUUAUGGAUGGCUGAAAUGAGGAAUGGCUAUGAUUUACUGCGUGUUUCAUUUAUCAUUGACAGUAUAUGGAAGUGUUGGAAUGAGACUUUAGUUGUUAAGAGGUCUCCUAUCGUUAUUCGGUUGAUUUUUGUAGCUGCUGUGGAUGGGACUUAUCGCUUCGUGUGUUUGAGUUAUAUGAUAUAACAUAUAAUUGCACCUGAGGUUUGCAGGCAUGGGUUACUAUAGCUAGUUCGGACUUGUUUUGAAUGUAGAUGGGAGGUUCUGGACUUGUGUACGAUUUCGGAAAUGGAAAUGUGGUUCUAAGGUUUAUGGGCUAUAUAUAUAUGGUAUGGCUUGAUAGUAGAUCGAAUCGAUAUGGUAAGGAUAUGAUUAAUUCUUUGUAUGUGUUAGAGGUAAUGGGUUCUUGCAGGUAUUUUGCAGCAAUGCUCUUGGGGUUUGGAUUAUGAAAUUGCAGUGACAAUGUGUAAUCAGACCUAUGUGAGAUAGGGUGACGAGGGAUCACCCCCGGGGAUAUGCAAUGUAAAAUUAUUCAGCUAUUAUUUGGCUUCUAGAACGACUCUGGGUAUGCUCGAGGACGAGCGUUUGUUUAAGUUGGGGAGGAUGUGACGACCCGACCCGUCGUCUUAUGAGUUACCGCUCCGUUCCCCCUAUUUUUUGCUUUUUUGUGCUUCAUUAUAAGAAUCUUGUGCGAACGAGUUGAUUUGAAUUGGUUUUAGAAGGAAAUUAGACACUUAGUCUCUUUAAGGAAGGUUUAUUUUGAAAAAGUCAACCGGACAUUGACUUAUGUGUUAGAGGGCUUGCAUAUGAAUUCUGAUGAUCUGUUAGCCUCAAGGAAUGAUUUGUGAUUUAGGAGUGUGAUUGGAAGUGAUUUUCGAGGUCCGAUGUAGAAUUAAGCUUGAAUUGACGAAGUUAGUCUUUUGGCGAAUUCCGGUUGAUAGGUGAGAUAUUGAUCUGAGGGUCGGAAUGGAAUUCUGCGAGUUGUUGUAGCUUCAUUAGGCAAUUGGGAUGUGCGUGUAAAAAUUUCAGGUCAUUCGGAGGUGAUUUGGUCGGGUUUUUUAUCAAAAGCAUGUUUCGAAAAUUUUAGAAGAACUUAGGCUUUAAUUUGAUGCAAUUUGAUGGUUUUGAUGCUUUUUGAGGUGUUUUGAAGAUUGGAACAAGUUUGGAUGAUGUUUUAGGAUGUGUUGAUGCUUUUGGUUGAGGUCCUUGGAGCCUCAGGGUGAUUUCGGAUGGCUAACGUGGAAUUUUGACUAUGAAACAUUGCAGAAAAUUCAUCAGUUAUUGCAAAGCAUUUUUUUCUCUGCGAUCACACAUGGAUAUACGCGAUCCAUUUGCAGGGGUGUUUGGUUGUUAAAUGUGAUCACAAAGGAAAGCUUGUGAUCGCACAGUGUGAAGUGGAUCUAAGAAUUGAGUAGAAAAAUUGUUUACUGCAAUCGUGGGUAUAGAUAUGCGAUAGCAUAGGUUAAAGAACUUGUGCAUUGCGAUCGCAGGGAUAUAUAUGCGAUCACGUAGGGUCAAAAAAUUUGAGCAGGGAUUUGGUAUUUCGCGAUCGCAAAGGAUUGGCUGCGAUCGCAUAGAGGAAAAACGGACCUGGACAUAAGGGUUUUAAUAAUAUUUCAUCCGCGAACUAAGCCUUAUUUUCACCAUUGUUGAGCAUCCUUGAGAGCUUUUGAACGGGAAUUGAAGAGGGUUUCGAUUGGGAGUGAUAGAAGGUAAGUCCUAUGAACCUAAAAACACGGUUUUAUUAUGAGGAGCUUUUGGACGGGAAUUGAAGAGGGUUUCGAUUGGGAGUGAUAGAAGGUAAGUCCUAUGAACCUAAAAACACGGUUUUAUUAUGAAAUUAACCUUGAAAUCCAUGUAAACUUAGGAAAAAGGGGAAGAACUAGGGCUUGAGUUUUUGAUAUUUCAAAUUAGGAUUUGAGGGGUCAUUUGGACUCUGAUUUUGGAGUUCUUUAUAUGUAUAGACUCGUCACGAGAUAAGAAACCUGUUGGUAUAAGAAUUUCUAAGUUUCGAGAAGCGGGCCCAAGGCUCGGGUUUUUGCCAAUUUUGGAAUUUUUGAUAUUUUUUGAUUGUUUUCGAUUGUGUAUUGUUCCCUUAGCCUAUUGUGACAUAUUCGUUGUGGUUUUGGUCAUUUUUGAUGUGCGAGGAGGUCAAUUUGAGAGGUAAAGGCGCCGUGACCUAGAGAUAUCGCCGGUUCAAGGUGAGUAAUGAUUAUAAAUGAUAUUUUGAGGAUUUGAAACCCCGUAUUUGCACAUUGUAAUGCUGUAUUGAGGUGACUUGCAUGCUGGAUAGCAAGCGUGGGGUAGAGCACCAUUAAGGAUUGUGACUUGGUCCGUCCCGGUAGAUAAAUAUACUGCGUAUUUUACUAAAAUUCACUUAUUAUCAUUAUAAUUUGAGCUGAUUAUAUAUUUGGGCUUCGUUCCAAUUGAUUGAAUCCUUUAGGGAUUGUUAUUAUUGAUCUCUUACCAUUUACAUAUUAUUGAACUUAGUCCUAGUAUUUAAUAUUAUUUUGCAAACUCAACUACCUUUUUCUCAAACUUGAAAACUUAAUUAAUAUUUUUACUGAAGUUUGGGCUGAAUACUUAUAUAUUAUUGUGCCCGAGGGGCUUAAGUAAUUCUAGACUGAGUAUGGGAGCGUGUUGCGCACCACAACAGUAUUAUAUUGAUAUUGAUAUGAGGUCGAGGGCCUAGUUAAUGCCACGAGAUUGGCUUAUUAUUUCGCUUGGGCCGUAAGGGGCCCCUCCCGGAGUCUGCACACCCCCAGUGAGCACCGUCGAUGAUAAAUGGAGUGGGAUGCAUGCCGCAGCGAUAUGUGGAGCGGGUUGCACGCCACAGCGGUACAGGUAUUGUUUGAUGUGUUUGCAUUAUCUUAUUUGUCUGCUAUUAUUUGUUGUUUUGGUGCUACUUCUUGCAAUAUAGACCUGAUACUCUGGCCUUCCUUGAUAACUGAGUGUUGUGCCCGCGGGGCAGAAAUUCUGUGCUUAUCUACACUAUUUGUUUUGCAUUUGUUUGUGUAAUCGCUGAAAAAGGCCAUUUAUUUAAAGAGGUUUAAACUGAACUAAGGUGUUUCACUAAAGAUUCUCAUAGCUUAACUGUUUUUUUGAAAAAGGGUUUACACUGCUUCUAUAUAGCAUGAUGAUUUUCUAUACGUGUUUUCUUAUUGCUCAGUUGUUAUUUAUCUUUAUUACUCACUGAGUUGGAACUACUCACUUUACUCCCUACACCUCAUGUGCAGAUGCAUGUAUCUAUUCACCCGGUAGCGGAUUUUGGCCUAUCAGAGGCAGAGUUACAUGAGUAAGAAGGUGAGUGCCAGCGUUCGCAGCACCAUGUUCCUCUCUUUUUUUCAUUAUUCCGGUUUUGUAUGCUUAAAACCUUGUAGUGGAUUUAUAUUCUGAUAGAUGCUCGUGACUUGUGACACCCCGAUUAGGGCUGUUGCACCUCGUAUGCAGAUGCAGGUAUCUAUUCACCCGGUAGCGGGUUUUGGCCGAUCAGAGGCAGAGUUAUAUGAGUAAGUAGGUGAUUGCCAGCGUCCGUAGCACCAUGUUUCUCUCUUUUGUUCAGUAUUCUAGCUUUGUAUAUUUUAGACCUUGUAGUGGAUUUACAUUUUGAUAGAUGCUCGUGACUUGUGACACCCGAUUAUGUCUGUGCUAGGUUGUAUUUUCGUUAAUUAAUAUUUUAAGUCAUAUUUAAGCUGUUUAUUUAUGUUUAACUAUUUUUGAAAAGACAAAUUGGGUUUAGUUAGCUGGACUUGUCCCCACGAGAGGCGCCAUCACGACUAGGUUCGAGUUUGGGUCGUAACAUCGUGGCUAAGUUACUUUUCCUAUAAAUAAAGGGGUUUUAUCCCAUUGUAAUUCAUCUUAAAAUCAAUAAUCCCUCUGUUCCAAUUUAUUUAAACCUAUUUGACUGGGCACGGAGUAUAAAAAUAAUAUUUUUUGAAAUUUUCUCAAUGACUUCAGUUCAUUUGUUAUUAUAGUGAACCUAGUCAUUAUCUCCCCAAUAGGUUUAGACUCAUUCAUAGAGAAGAGUUCAUAGAUCCUUAGGAGCAACUCAAUCCUUGAUCUCUUCACUUGAUUUAUUCCUUCAUGAGGUGUUUGAAGUGCAUCAUAAAUCUCUUUUGCAUUGUUUUUUUGGAGCAUGCAGAUUUCUUGUUGUACUCAUCAGAACUUCAUGAGCAGUUUGAAGUGCAUCGUAAAUCUCUUUUGCAUUGGAGCAUGCAGAUUUCUUAUUGUACUCAUCAGGACCAAGUCCACUUAUAAGGAUCUUCUUGGCCUUUGUAUUCUUUUACAUCAUCCUAAAAACUAUUGCAAUAUAUUCAAAGGGGUCUUGGGACAGUUUCAUUUUUUCCAUUUUUUUUGGUGGGAGUUAGUGGUCCUUGAUUCACUAUUGUCCAUAGUUCAUAGUCCUCAGCUAUUAGGAAAUCCUCCAUUCUUACCUUCCCCCAACUAUAAUAUUUUUUGUUGAACAGAGGUGGUCUAUUAGUUGAGUGUCCUUCAUUAAUUCCAGGUGGAACACUCAUUUUGCUUCCAAAAUCUUUCUAGGUGUUAAUCAUGUUUAAGAGAACCAGCUUUGAUACCAAUUGUUAAUUUGAGUGUCUUCCUAAAUUACUAAAGUACUUGAUUUUUUUCCUUUCUCCUUAUGCAUAAAUAAAAUAAAUAGUAAAAAAUAAGAACAACAAUUUUUACGUGAAAAAACAUUCGUCUCAAAAGUACAAAAAUCAUGACCUGCCAUGAAGGAUUUAACUUCAAAUUCACUAGAACUAAUGAACCAAAUGUACUGAUUACAAGACUUGUAAUCCAAUACCAAAAUAAUUCUCCUACUUCAACUAUUUGAAUGAACUACAAGUUACUCUAUCUUGCACACUCAAACAACUACUCGAACUGACAAGCUUUGAAUAACAACAUGAUUACUACUCAAUUUUCUAAUACACAUGAACUAACAGACUCUAGAAGAACACUGACACUGAUGAUCACAUUGAGCGUUGAACUUGAAAUAUAGUGUUUUGUUCCACAGUUGAUGUGCAAAAGAAUAGUCUUCUCAGUCCAUGGGGAAAGUAUCUAACUUUCCAAUGCUCCGUGAUCUUUGGGAUCCUACAUACAUUCAACUUCUUGUUUGACAGCAAUCCUAAAGUUACAAGGACUCCACGAAUCUUGUGACUCUUGUCUAUCACUUAUGCGAGAAGAUAUUCUUGGACAACAGUCCUUGUCAUACCAAUAGCUCUUUCCAGCAAUCUCGGACUAUUAACUUUGUGUAAAAGUUAUUGCCUUGUAAGAACCUUAAGCAACUACCUUGAGGACCUGGUUCUUAGCACACUUUAUUAAUCCUCAAAGCCCUAAUUCUCUAAAGUUAAUUAAUCACUGAAGAACAAUUAUGGUAUAAUAUAGUAAUUUAAUCAUUUUUAUUAAUUUUUUUUUGGAAAAUUAAAAUAAAUGUAAUACACUUAGGGUGUGUUUGGUGUCAUACAUCCUUUUCUACUACCCCGUAAGGGUUAUAAGAAAGUUUUUUCAAUUAAAGUGACAAUCAAAAUGGAAUUUAUUUAAUUAUUCAGAAUCUCCGCUUGAGAUAAUUUAUGGUUUCCAAGUCACCGAUUUAUAAUCCCGAAUCAAGAAAAAUUGACUCUAUUUUAUAGUCCGCGAACACAGAAAUCCACGUAAGGAAUUGUUAACUCGGGAGAAGGUGUUAGGCAUUCCCAGGUUCCAUGGUUUUAGUACGGUCGUUCAACUAUUAUUAUUGGCCUAAUUAUCAGAUUUUAAAACACUUUUAAACCUAUAUGCAUUUUGUCUUUUGAACCGCUUUUAUUUAUUUAAGAAAAAUUCAAGGUUAUUUAAAACAUAUCGCAAGUCACACUACAUGAAAUGCACCAGCGAGUCACGACACGUUCUAUUUAACCUUGUUGAAAAUUGAAAUCGGGUCACAUGAAAUGUACAUUCGAGUUUGCAAUAUGUUUAUUUUUAUUAUUAUUACUCCAAAUUAUAGCAGGGUCACAUGAAAUGCACACCCGAGCCCCUUUAAUCUAAUUUGACAUAGUUCAGUUGAAGAAUAGCAACCCAAUCUCUAUGUUGUGACAAAAUUAUGUUCAGCUAUAACCAAUUCGAGUAAACAUACGAGCAUAUAGCUAAGUGAGCAAAUUCAAAACUAUGGAGAACAAUUAUAGAAUCAACGAAAUCAUAUCACCAAACCUAUAAUUAAUAUCAAGCUUAUAUAAAAUGAAUAGAGGAUGAAAGAGUUGAACCCCAAUAUAGCUGGACAAUUGAUUGUUUUAUUGCUUUGAACUCGAGAUGUAACGAACCACAUAUUGAAACUCGAAUUGGUACUGGAAAGCUCGAAUCAAAUACCACAUCGGAUGACCUCCAUUUUAAAAACCAAAAAUUCGACGGACAGUGCCUCAAGCUACAACUAUGGCGUUCGAGCCUCAAACAUCAUAUCCCAUGUCACUGGGUGCAUCAACGGCAAGAAAAGGGUAUGGCAGAAGGAAAAUUUUGUUUGCCUGUAUUUAAAUUUCGUCGGCAACUCUAAACCCUUUAGCCCUUUCUUUAGCAUUUCAUUUGUGUUUUUUUCAACCCCAAAUGCUCCUCCGUUUUUUUUAUUCUGUCCGUGACCCUACUUGCUUUUUGUUUCAACCCCAAAAACAUGAUUCCUUUUCCCCUCCCACCGGUCAGGUUGUUAGCUUCUGGAU
rnacentral:lncRNA from 1 species